UAGUAAGACAGUGGGGGAUAAGCUCCAUUGUCAAGAGGGAAACAGCCCAGAUCAUUAGCUAAGGCCCCCAAAAACUGCUAAGUGCGAAAGGCGGUGGAAGUGCACAAACAACCAGGAGGUUUGCUUAGAAGCAGCAAUCCUUUAAAGAGUGCGUAAUAGCUCACUGGUCGAGUAAGUCCGCACCGAAAAUGUACGGGACUAAGUGGUUUGCCGAAGCUAUGGAAUAGUUAAAGUAUUAUUGGUAGGGGAGCGUUCUGUUGUAGGUUGAAGCGGUAGUGAAAACGGUCGUGGACAAAGCAGAAGUGAGAAUGUUGGCUUGAGUAGCGAAAACAUUGGUGCGAAUCCAAUGCCCCGAAAACCUAAGGGUUCCUCCGGAAGGCUCGUCCGCGGAGGGUUAGUCAGGGCCUAAGGCGAGGUCGAUUUGGCGUAGUCGAUGGAUAACAGGUAGAUAUUCCUGUACC
rnacentral:rRNA from 1 species